rnacentral:other from 1 species
UGUCUUCUGAGAUGUUCGUGAUUGAAGUUGAAGUAAGCCCUUGAGCCUUAUAUACCAACCUCGGGUUCUGGAAGGUAUUUUGUGAGCAUGACUGCUCUGUACUUAUUAACAUGAGUACUAGCGGUAAGCCUAAUGAAUGCCCGUAUGAUCCCACUUGAACUUUCUGGUUCAAGGUUAAUCAACUCAACACGACAUCUUGGUGUCAUC